AGAUUCAUUUUUAUGACUUCUUUGAAUCGUCUCCCUCAUCUCAUUCCUGAAAAAUUCAAACCCUAAUAUUUCCCUCUGUCGAUCCUGUGAUGGCAUAUCUUUCUCGUCUUCGUUUCAGUUCUUUACUUAACCACCGUCGUUACUUCUCAUCAAUUCUGAAUCCAGAUUCAUCAACUCCAUUAACCAGUAAACAAAAAUCAAAAGCCGCUUUAUCACUCCUUAAAUCAGAAAAAAACCCAGAAAAAAUCCUCGAUAUUUGUCGUGCUGCUUCUCUCCAUCCUGAUUACCCUCUCGAUCGAACCGCUUUCGUAGUCGCAAUCUCCAAACUGACUGAUUCAAAAUCAUUUGAAGGAAUCCGUUGCUACUUAGAAGAAUUAAAAGCUCGUCCUGAUCUUAAAAAUGAACGUUUUCAUUGUAAUGCUAUUGUUUACUAUGGUCGCGCUGGGAUGCUUGAUCAUUCCAUCAAGACAUUUCAAGAGAUGGGGGAUCUUGGUAUCACUGCGACAACAAAAUCUUUGAAUUCUCUACUUUCGGCUUGCAUUGCUUCCAAAAAGUAUGAUGAGGUGAAUCGUAUUUUCCUUGAGUAUCCUGAUAGUUAUAAUCUAAAACCCGAUGUUGAUACAUAUAAUGCUGUGAUUAAGGGUUUUUGUGAGUCUGGUUCUAGUAAUUCUGUUUAUUCAUUGUUAGAUGAAAUGGAGAAAAAAGGGUGUAAGCCUAAUAGUACUACUUUUGGGACUAUAUUUACUGGGAUUUACAAAGAGAAAAAGUUUGAAGAUGUUGAGAAAGUAUUAGAAAUUAUGAAGAAACAUGGUGUGUCUCAGGGUGUUGCUAUUUAUAAUAUUAGGAUUCUUGGUUUAUGUAAAUAUAAGAGCGCUUCUGAAGGGAAAGCUUUGUUUGAAGAAAUGCUGUUAAGAGGUGUAAAACCGAAUGCGGUGUCUUUUCACCAUCUUAUCCAUGGGUUUAGCAAGGAACGUAAAUUCGAGGAAGCAAAGAGGUUGCUUAAUGAUAUGGCAAAGCAUGGUUGUGCCCCUAAUAAUGAUUGUUAUUUUAGCUUAGUUUAUUAUCUAUGCCAAGGAGGUGAUUUCGUAGGCGCAUUAGAGUUCUGUAAGGAGAGUAUGUCUAAAGGAUGGUUUCCAAAUUUCUCGACUAUGAAGAUGCUUGUUAAUGGACUUGUAAGUAGUUCAAAGGUCGAUGAAGCUAAGGAUCUUAUUGGACAAGUAAAGGAGAAAUUCCCAAACAAAGCUGAUCAGUGGAAGGACAUCGAAGAGGGAUUACCGCAGUAAGAAGUGGUACAUUUAUUCGUUGAAAGUUUCGGGAAGCGGCGGAAAUAAGAGCUUUAGAACAAUUUUGUUAUUAUAUUGUAUUUGUUGAGUCAUUCUACCCUUCUAAAAUCUUAGCAUACUCUGCUGAAAACAGCUCCUUCAAUGUCUGUGAGGAAGGUACAUGACUGAGGCAAUUCUGUUUUCCAUCUCCACAUGUUGCAACACUUAGCCAAGUUUGGUGGUUCAUGUGACCGUAUGGAGUUAUCAUCCAGAUAUUGUUUUUUUUGUGUGAUCUGAUUAUUCAUAGCAUCUGACAAUAAGGUACAUGACUGAGGCAAUUCUGUUUUCCAUCUCCACAUGUUGCAACAAUUAGCCAAGUUUGGUGGUUCAUGUGACCGUAUGGAGUUAUCAUCCAGAUAUUGUUUUUUUUGUGUGAUCUGAUUAUACAUAGCAUCUGACAAUAAGGUAUCAUUUGUAGUUGCUGUUGAUAUGCUUGACAGUUCUUAAUCUUAGCUGUCCCUGUUGUCUUAGUAGACAAACAAUAAGCAGUCUUUAGCAUUGAAAAGAAGUUGGUUUGGUAGAUACCUCUUCGUUCAAGAGUUUCGAAGACUACUUAGGCAGUCUUUAACUCCAUUAUGGCUCAAUACCAUUUUUUUAUCAGUUCAUAGUGACUAGUGAGGCUGGUUGAAGCCUUGGUCCAGAGAUGAGGUACAUUUGGGGAUUUUCUCCCACAUAAGUCAACAAGAGGUUUAUCUUACAAACUCAGAUCAAUAUUACUAGCUCCUGCCUGAGAAGCUAUGCAAUACAGCUCCAGAAAGAUAAAUAUUAAAGAGGCCGUUUAUCUGACAAACUCAGAUCAAUGUUACUAGUUCCUGUCUGAGAAGCUAUACAACGAAGACACCCCUUGGGGAACAAGGUUUAUUAAUACAUUCUUCUCUGAUUGUGUCAUUCGAAGCAUACAAACUCUUUACAGGUGUAUCUUCUUAACUUGGAACUGAACAAUUGUUUACUAAGUAUUGCUAUAGCUAUAUGCUAAAUACUCACAUGACGCACUUCAUGAAAGUUCACCUUUCGUGAUAACCCUUAGAUACUGGGUAUUCAAAGUGAAUGACUUUGCUCAAAGAAAGAUUAAAAAGGUUUACACAAUUACAAAACAGUCUUGCACUUUCUACAUAUCUUGUGCGACGAAGUGCUUCAGCAGAAUCAGCAUAGCCGACAUCAUUGCGGUAUGAGUUUAUCUUGUUUCUACUAUUCUAAGAUCAUCUCAGGUUCCUCCCAAGAAAAGUGUAAAGAGAGUGUAAAGAUGAUACAAGGAGAUUCUUACUUUAUUCUUCUCAGUGUCCCUCUGUCAGUAAUAUCCAAGAUACAGAAAUUUUUAGUUAGUGUUUCUGAAUUAGGGCUUCCAAUACUAACAAAUCAAUCCUUUACUCUGUUGUUACAAUUGAGGAAGAAGAAGAGCAGGAGAUGGGGAUUAUGGCAUCAGAGCUGCAAUGUUGGAUUUCAGUGAUAUCUCUUCCAAUUUCUUCAAGUUCAAGGAGAAACCCUAAGCUAUCUGUGAG